CAUGCAAGUCGAGCGGAGAAAUAGGGUAGCUUGCUAUCAUAUUUCUUAGCGGCGGACGGGUGAGUAACACGUGGAUAACCUGCCUUUAACAGGGGGAUAACAUAGGGAAACCUGUGCUAAUACCGCAUAACACAUAAACAUGGCAUCAUGGAAAUGUCAAAGGAGCAAUCCGGUUAGAGAUGGAUCCGCGUCCGAUUAGCUAGUUGGUGAGGUAAAGGCCCACCAAGGCGACGAUCGGUAGCCGAACUGAGAGGUUGAACGGCCACAUUGGAACUGAGAGACGGUCCAGACUCCUACGGGAGGCAGCAGUGGGGAAUAUUGCGCAAUGGGGGGAACCCUGACGCAGCAACGCCGCGUGAAGGAAGAAGGCCUUCGGGUUGUAAACUUCUUUAGACAGGGACGAAAAAAAUGACGGUACCUGAAGAAUAAGCCACGGCUAACUACGUGCCAGCAGCCGCGGUAAUACGUAGGUGGCAAGCGUUGUCCGGAAUUACUGGGUGUAAAGGGCGUGUAGGCGGGUAGACAAGUCAGAUGUGAAAUACCGAGGCUUAACCUCGGGGCUGCAACUGAAACUGUAUAUCUUGAGUAUCGGAGAGGAAAGCGGAAUUCCCAGUGUAGCGGUGAAAUGCGUAGAGAUUGGGAGGAACACCAGUGGCGAAGGCGGCUUUCUGGACGAAAACUGACGCUGAUGCGCGAAAGCGUGGGGAGCAAACAGGAUUAGAUACCCUGGUAGUCCACGCUGUAAACGAUGAAUACUAGGUGUAGGGGGUAUCGAACCCCUCUGUGCCGGAGUUAACACAAUAAGUAUUCCACCUGAGGAGUACGACCGCAAGGUUGAAACUCAAAGG
rnacentral:rRNA from 1 species